rnacentral:rRNA from 1 species
AGAUGCUAGUCCUUUCAUGAUUAUGUGAUAGGUGGUGCAUGGCCGUUCUUAGUUCGUGGAGUGAUCUGUCUGCUUAAUUGCGUUUCACUAAGGUCCCAGUAAUCUAAGGUAUGCUCGUCUACUUAUCUCAUAUGACGCUGAUAGACCCCUCGUAAGAGCGCGUUGUCUAUUGCGUUAAUAUAUGUAACAAGUGACACAUACUGUUGGGAUCUGAAAGCAACGAACGUGACCGCAACGUCUUGUUGCCUUUCUAAUUUAUUCUAAUUCUUUUGUAAUUAGUUUAAUAACAAAGGCUAUUCUUUAAACUAUACGGACCGCUGUUUCUCUUUUAAAC